rnacentral:lncRNA from 1 species
CUGCCUGUACCUCUCUGGAAGCAAAUUUGGGACCUCUCUGGAGAGAGAUCUGCCUUGUUCCCCACUAGAACCACUGGCACCCUGUGAGGAAACAGCAGUUACUUCAGAAUCCCCUCAUUCCCCGCAUUCCCCAACUCCUUACAUCAAGGCUGGACGACUCCUUAUCAGACCAGGCAGGAUCUAUAUCCGAGCCUCCUCUCUAACUUGACAAUUCUCCCCUCUGCUCUCUCCCACCCCCUCAUGCCCACACUAUGUCCCUAUCCCCCAGGGCCACUUACCGGGUUUUCCCAUGGCCUUCAUGUAGCUUUUGGUACAGACUCUCAAUGACUUGGAAGCUUUAAACACAAGAAUUGGAGCUAUAACUUUAUGAGACAGUCCUCAGGUUCUCCCAAGUCCCGCACUCACAACCUUGGUCACUUACCUAUGCAGAGAGGUGACAGAAUACACAAGCACAUAACCAUGGACCCCAAUGAUGAAUGAAUAGGGCAGAAUGCUGUACUCAUCCUGGCAAGAAAUGGGAAACAUCAGUACCUAGAUCCAAACCACUAAGAUGGCAAAGGUUGGUGGGACAACAUCCAGGUGACCCUCCCUGGGGCACGCCCUACUAUAGUCACUUCAACAUGUAUUUAUGGAACAGCUCCAAUGAGCCCUGCAUACUGUUAGCAGGUAAAAUGCUUUUAAUACUACUUUACGGAUGAGCCACAAAGACUACCAGACUUCAUCUCCGAGGGCUGAACUGCCACAUUUGGAUACCAUACCCCAACUGGUACCUGCCCUGCUGUGUCCACCAGAUGUAGGUGAAACUCAUCUUUGCCAAGAGUCACUAUCUUGCUGUAAGCUGAAAAGAAAAGAAAACUUGACUGUGAAGUGCCUUAUAGGACCAGCGAUGUAUGUCCCCUGACUUUUUUUUUUUUUUUUUUUUGAGACAAGAGUCUCACUCUAUUGUCCAGGCUGGGCUGCAGUGGCAUGAUCUCAGCUCACUGCAACCUCUGCCACCCGGGUUCAAGCUAUUCUCCUGCCUCAGCCUCCCGAGUAGCUGGGAUUACAGGGACCUGCCACCAUGCCCGGCUAAUUACAUUUUUUUUUUUUGAGAUGAGGUCUUGCUAUGUUGCCCAGGCUGUAGAGCAGUGGCUAUUCACAGGCGCACUCUUAGCACCCUAUAGCCUGGAACUCCUGGGCUCAAGCAAUCCUGUCACCUCAGCCUCCCAAGUAGCUGGAACUACAGGUGUGCACCUCUGCACCUGGCUGUCUCCUUACCUUUUUUUUUUUUUUUGGCAGCAUUUUUUAAAGUAGAUUAUUGGUUGGGCGCAGUGGCUCACACCUGUAAUCCCAGCACUUUGGGAGGCCAGGGCAGGCGGAUCACUUAAGACCAAGAGUUUGAGACCAGCCUGGCCAACAUGGUGAAACCCUGUCUCUACUAAAAAUACAAAAAAUUAGUUGGGCAUGGUGGUGCAUGCCUGUAGUCCCAGCUACUCAGGAGGGUGAAGCGUGAGAAUUGCUUGAACCCAGGAGGUGGAGGUUGCAGUGAGCUGAGAUUGCGGCACUGCACUCCAGCCUGGGUGACAGAGCGAGACUGUCUUGAAAAGAAAAGAAAAAUAAAGUAAUUACUUUUGUUUUAUUGAUGAAUAAUAGAUGUACCAAGUUUCAGGGUACAUGUGACAAUUUAAUACAUUCAUAUAAUUUGUAAAGAUCAAAUAAGUGUAUCUGGAAUAUUCAUCACCUUAAAUAUUUGGCUUUUCUUUAUGCUAGAACCAUUUGAA